rnacentral:rRNA from 1 species
CAUAUCCAAUAAGCGGAGGAAAAGAAACCAACAGGGAUUACCUCAGUAACGGCGAGUGAAGCGGUAACAGCUCAAAUUUGAAAUCUGGGUCUUUCAGGCUCCGAGUUGUAAUUUGUAGAAGAUGCUUCGAGCGUGGUCCUAGUCUAAGUUCCUUGGAACAGGACGUCACAGAGGGUGAGAAUCCCGUACGUGAUUAGGCGCCUAUGCUCAUGUGAAGCUCUUUCGACGAGUCGAGUUGUUUGGGAAUGCAGCUCAAAAUGGGUGGUAUAUUUCAUCUAAAGCUAAAUAUUGGCCAGAGACCGAUAGCGCACAAGUAGAGUGAUCGAAAGAUGAAAAGCACUUUGGAAAGAGAGUUAAACAGUACGUGAAAUUGUUGAAAGGGAAGCGCUUGCAACCAGACUUGCGCGUUGUCGAUCAUCUGAUGUUCUCAUCAGUGCACACGACCUCGCUCAGGCCAGCAUCAGUUCUGGUGGUUGGAUAAAGGCCUUGGGAAUGUAGCUUCUCUCGGGGAGUGUUAUAGCCCUCGGUGCAAUGCAGCCUACCGGGACCUGAGGACCGCGCUCGGCUA